rnacentral:tRNA from 1 species
GGGCUGCUAGCUCAACUGGCAGAGCAACUGACUCUUAAUCAGUAGGUUGGGAGUUCGAUUCUCCCGCAGCCCAC